rnacentral:rRNA from 1 species
GAUUUCUGGUUUGACAUGCCUGGCCCGCCGCUUUCCAGUGUGUGAGUGCCGGCGCGUGACUGCCAUCCUUCUGGAGACACGUGUCUACCCUUCACUGGGCCGGAUACGCGAUCCAGAUCAUUUACUUUGAAAAAAUUAGAGUGUUUAAAGCAGGCUUUUUGCUAUGAAUACAUUAGCAUGGAAUAAUAAUUUAGGACUUUGGUCCUAUUUUGUUGGUUUCUAGGACUGAAGUAAUGAUUGAUAGGGAUAGUUGGGGGUGCUCGAAUUCAGCGGCCAGAGGUGAAAUUCUUGGAUUCGCUGAAGACGAACUCAUGCGAAAGCAUU